UACCAAUAUCCGAGGUUUCGAAAUUGGACCGUAUUAAACGAUGUGAAUAUUUAUUCAAUUACGGGUCAUUUUGCUCUAUUGACUGUCCAUCGUAUAAUACCGAAUUAUAAUUAUUAGUCCAUAAAGCCAUACUGGUCAGCUACUAAUGUCCUAUUACCCCUUGGGCUAUCCUUAGUAUAUGUAUAUUUACGAGUACUAGAGCAGCAGGUGCCCAGCUGCCAGUGAUGACCAUUGGAUCCAUUGGAAGGACUUCGUGUAUAUGUACAUCUUCAAAAUGCUCGGUCGCGUUCGAUUUGUUUUUCUCCUGCUGGUGACGACAACAAUUGGACACGCCUACAAUACAGGGCGAUAUCAUCCAAUCAUAAAGCGAGCUGCUGUCUGUAGAGAGGAGGACGGACACUUGUGGUACGAGAACGAGUGCGUCUGCGUGGACGGAAGAACCAAGUGUUGCUGUGGAUCCGAGGGAAUACGAUGUACCCGGCUCAUCUCGUGUUGGUGAUAUAUCAGUGAAUUGACAUUGUUAUGACAGAUGUGCACGUGUAUACGUUUAAAUAACAAACACGGAAACAUGAAAUCAUUUAUAAACGAUUAGUUGUUUUGUCUCUCGUACAAAGUAAAGAUAGGAAAUGACACUAUCUUUUUAUCAUAUAAUAAAACCAUUUUAGAAAUUUUGAA